rnacentral:rRNA from 1 species
GGGUUGUGAGGUUAAGCGACUAAGCGUACACGGUGGAUGCCUUGGCAGUCAGAGGCGAUGAAGGACGUGCUAAUCUGCGAUAAGCGCCGGUAAGGUGAUAUGAACCGUUAUAACCGGCGAUUUCCGAAUGGGGAAACCCAGUGUGAUUCGUCACACUAUCAUUAACUGAAUCCAUAGGUUAAUGAGGCGAACCGGGGGAACUGAAACAUCUAAGUACCCCGAGGAAAAGAAAUCAACCGAGAUUCCCCCAGUAGCGGCGAGCGAACGGGGAGGAGCCCAGAGCCUGAAUCAGCAUGUGUGUUAGUGGAAGCGUCUGGAAAGGCGCGCGAUACAGGGUGACAGCCCCGUACACAAAAGCGCAUGUGCUGUGAGCUCGAUGAGUAGGGCGGGACACGUGGUAUCCUGUCUGAAUAUGGGGGGACCAUCCUCCAAGGCUAAAUACUCCUGACUGACCGAUAGUGAACCAGUACCGUGAGGGAAAGGCGAAAAGAACCCCGGCGAGGGGAGUGAAAAAGAACCUGAAACCGUGUACGUACAAGCAGUGGGAGCACCCUUUGGGGUGUGACUGCGUACCUUUUGUAUAAUGGGUCAGCGACUUAUAUUCUGUAGCAAGGUUAACCGUAUAGGGGAGCCGGAGGGAAACCGAGUCUUAACCGGGCGUUAAGUUGCAGGGUAUAGACCCGAAACCCGGUGAUCUAGCCAUGGGCAGGUUGAAGGUUGGGUAACACUAACUGGAGGACCGAACCGACUAAUGUUGAAAAAUUAGCGGAUGACCUGUGGCUGGGGGUGAAAGGCCAAUCAAACCGGGAGAUAGCUGGUUCUCCCCGAAAGCUAUUUAGGUAGCGCCUCGUGAAUUCAUCUCCGGGGGUAGAGCACUGUUUCGGCUAGGGGGCCAUCCCGGCUUACCAACCCGAUGCAAACUGCGAAUACCGGAGAAUGUUAUCACGGGAGACACACGGCGGGUGCUAACGUCCGUCGUGAAGAGGGAAACAACCCAGACCGCCAGCUAAGGUCCCAAAGUCAUGGUUAAGUGGGAAACGAUGUGGGAAGGCCCAGACAGCCAGGAUGUUGGCUUAGAAGCAGCCAUCAUUUAAAGAAAGCGUAAUAGCUCACUGGUCGAGUCGGCCUGCGCGGAAGAUGUAACGGGGCUAAACCAUGCACCGAAGCUGCGGCAGCGACGCUUAUGCGUUGUUGGGUAGGGGAGCGUUCUGUAAGCCUGCGAAGGUGGCCUGUGAGGGUUGCUGGAGGUAUCAGAAGUGCGAAUGCUGACAUAAGUAACGAUAAAGCGGGUGAAAAGCCCGCUCGCCGGAAGACCAAGGGUUCCUGUCCAACGUUAAUCGGGGCAGGGUGAGUCGACCCCUAAGGCGAGGCCGAAAGGCGUAGUCGAUGGGAAACGGGUUAAUAUUCCCGUACUUGGUGUUACUGCGAAGGGGGGACGGAGAAGGCUAUGUUGGCCGGGCGACGGUUGUCCCGGUUUAAGCGUGUAGGCUGGUUUUCCAGGCAAAUCCGGAAAAUCAAGGCUGAGGCGUGACGACGAGGCACUACGGUGCUGAAGCAACAAAUGCCCUGCUUCCAGGAAAAGCCUCUAAGCAUCAGGUAACAUCAAAUCGUACCCCAAACCGACACAGGUGGUCAGGUAGAGAAUACCAAGGCGCUUGAGAGAACUCGGGUGAAGGAACUAGGCAAAAUGGUGCCGUAACUUCGGGAGAAGGCACGCUGACACGUAGGUGAAGUGAUUUACUCACGGAGCUGAAGUCAGUCGAAGAUACCAGCUGGCUGCAACUGUUUAUUAAAAACACAGCACUGUGCAAACACGAAAGUGGACGUAUACGGUGUGACGCCUGCCCGGUGCCGGAAGGUUAAUUGAUGGGGUCAGCGCAAGCGAAGCUCCUGAUCGAAGCCCCGGUAAACGGCGGCCGUAACUAUAACGGUCCUAAGGUAGCGAAAUUCCUUGUCGGGUAAGUUCCGACCUGCACGAAUGGCGUAAUGAUGGCCAGGCUGUCUCCACCCGAGACUCAGUGAAAUUGAACUCGCUGUGAAGAUGCAGUGUACCCGCGGCAAGACGGAAAGACCCCGUGAACCUUUACUAUAGCUUGACACUGAACAUUGAGCCUUGAUGUGUAGGAUAGGUGGGAGGCUUUGAAGUGUGGACGCCAGUCUGCAUGGAGCCGACCUUGAAAUACCACCCUUUAAUGUUUGAUGUUCUAACGUGGACCCGUAAUCCGGGUUGCGGACAGUGUCUGGUGGGUAGUUUGACUGGGGCGGUCUCCUCCUAAAGAGUAACGGAGGAGCACGAAGGUUGGCUAAUCCUGGUCGGACAUCAGGAGGUUAGUGCAAUGGCAUAAGCCAGCUUGACUGCGAGCGUGACGGCGCGAGCAGGUGCGAAAGCAGGUCAUAGUGAUCCGGUGGUUCUGAAUGGAAGGGCCAUCGCUCAACGGAUAAAAGGUACUCCGGGGAUAACAGGCUGAUACCGCCCAAGAGUUCAUAUCGACGGCGGUGUUUGGCACCUCGAUGUCGGCUCAUCACAUCCUGGGGCUGAAGUAGGUCCCAAGGGUAUGGCUGUUCGCCAUUUAAAGUGGUACGCGAGCUGGGUUUAGAACGUCGUGAGACAGUUCGGUCCCUAUCUGCCGUGGGCGCUGGAGAACUGAGGGGGGCUGCUCCUAGUACGAGAGGACCGGAGUGGACGCAUCACUGGUGUUCGGGUUGUCAUGCCAAUGGCACUGCCCGGUAGCUAAAUGCGGAAGAGAUAAGUGCUGAAAGCAUCUAAGCACGAAACUUGCCCCGAGAUGAGUUCUCCCUGAGACUUAGAGUCUCCUGAAGGAACGUUGAAGACGACGACGUUGAUAGGCCGGGUGUGUAAGCGCAGCGAUGCGUUGAGCUAACCGGUACUAAUGAACCGUGAGGCUUAACCUUACAACGCCGAAG